rnacentral:rRNA from 1 species
GAUGAACGCUGGCGGCGUGCCUAAUACAUGCAAGUCGAGCGAACGGACGAGAAGCUUGCUUUUCUGAUGUUAGCGGCGGACGGGUGAGUAACACGUGGAUAACCUACCUAUAAGACUGGGAUAACUUCGGGAAACCGGAGCUAAUACCGGAUAAUAUUUUGAACCGCAUGGUUCAAAAGUGAAAGACGGUCUUGCUGUCACUUAUAGAUGGAUCCGCGCUGCAUUAGCUAGUUGGUAAGGUAACGGCUUACCAAGGCAACGAUGCAUAGCCGACCUGAGAGGGGGAUCGGCCACCUGGGAAGUGAGCCAGCGACCAUAGUCCUGCGGGAGGCAGCAGUAGGGGAUCGUACGCAAUAGGCGAGAGCCUGGCGCAGCAGCGCGGAGUGAGUGAUGAAGGUGUUCGGAUCGUGAAAAUCUGUUAUUAGGGAAGAACAUAUGUGUAAGUAAAUGUGCACAUCUUGACGGUAACUAAUCAGAAAGCCACGGCUAACUACGUG